ensembl:lncRNA
UGGGGCUGGGGGAGGAGGGACUCAUGGGUCCCUGCAAGCGGGAUGAGCAUGGCCAGGGCCAGGCUGUCAAGAGUGUCAGGGGCAUCUGCUUCUGCCUCUUAGGGAGACCUUCUUUCUGCAGAGUGGGGUCUCCACAGUCUGCACAGCUCGGCUCCCCAUUCUCUCGUGAAGGUACAAGCUGUUGUCAUGAAGCCUGGAGUUUUUCCGAGAUGCCAGAGGCAGCAGCGCAGUGCUCUUGUUUCUCAUCUAAACCUGUCCCUUUCUCAGAACAGACCCCGCGUGUGUGAUUCCUUCGUGGUCCCAGAGCGGGUCAUCUUGCUUGCAGGGUAGCCUUGGGGCACCACUGCUUGUCAGGGUUGAGCAGGAAGGCAGACCAGGAUCCUCUGUGUCUUCCUCCCACUUCCAGCUGGUUUACUGACAUUCCACCCGACCAGAAGGAACCAGAGGAGGAAGAAGGCCUGAGAAACUGGAGGGAGGCUGCUCAGAUGGUUCUGUAGAAUGUUCUAGAAUACCUAGAAAAAAAUGAAGCACCCAACAGGCUGAAGCAAGGAAAUUACUGUAG